AGAGUUUGAUCCUGGCUCAGGACGAACGCUGGCGGCGUGCUUAACACAUGCAAGUCGAACGCUGAUCCAUCUUCGGGUGGUGAUGAGUGGCGAACGGGUGAGUAACACGUGGGCAACCUGCCCCCGGCUCUGGGAUAACUCCAAGAAAUUGGGGCUAAUACCGGAUGUCCUCUUGCUGCCGCAUGGUGGUGGGUGGAAAGGGUUUCCGGCUGGGGAUGGGCCCGCGGCCUAUCAGCUUGUUGGUGGGGUAGUGGCCUACCAAGGCGACGACGGGUAGCCGGCCUGAGAGGGUGACCGGCCACACUGGGACUGAGACACGGCCCAGACUCCUACGGGAGGCAGCAGUGGGGAAUAUUGCGCAAUGGGCGGAAGCCUGACGCAGCGACGCCGCGUGGGGGAUGACGGCCUUCGGGUUGUAAACCUCUUUCAGCAGGGACGAAGCCGUGAGGUGACGGUACCUGCAGAAGAAGCACCGGCCAACUACGUGCCAGCAGCCGCGGUAAUACGUAGGGUGCAAGCGUUGUCCGGAAUUAUUGGGCGUAAAGAGCUCGUAGGCGGUUCGUCGCGUCGGCUGUGAAAACCUGAGGCUCAACCUCAGGCCUGCAGUCGAUACGGGCGGACUUGAGUUCGGCAGGGGAGACUGGAAUUCCUGGUGUAGCGGUGAAAUGCGCAGAUAUCAGGAGGAACACCGGUGGCGAAGGCGGGUCUCUGGGCCGAUACUGACGCUGAGGAGCGAAAGCGUGGGGAGCGAACAGGAUUAGAUACCCUAGUAGUCC
rnacentral:rRNA from 1 species